UAAGCUAAAAUCUUACAGGCCUCAGCCUGUGGAUUUUGCAUUCCAGCCAUGGUUUACUUAUAUACCUAAUACACACUCAUCACUCCUAAAUUCUUCUCAAUCUUAUACUUCUAUAAUCCUACAGUUUAAAUCUAUUGCUGAUUAAGUAUGAAAUAG